rnacentral:rRNA from 12 species
GAGUUUGAUCAUGGCUCAGAUUGAACGCUGGCGGCAUGCCUAACACAUGCAAGUCGAACGAUGAUUAAGAGCUUGCUCUUAUGAUUAGUGGCGGACGGGUGAGUAAUAUAUAGGGAUCUGCCUGUUAGUGGGGGACAACAGCCGGAAACGGCUGCUAAUACCGCAUACGCUCUACGGAGGAAAGUGGGGGACCCUCGGGCCUCACGCUAACAGAUGAACCUAUAUCAGAUUAGCUAGAUGGUGGGGUAAAGGCCUACCAUGGCGACGAUCUGUAGCUGGUUUGAGAGAAUGAUCAGCCACACUGGGACUGAGACACGGCCCAGACUCC